AAUCUCAAGGGUAACACGCUGUAAUUUUUGCUUAACCGCAAAUGUUUUCUCAGAUUUUUACCCCUCAGAUUGCAAUGUUGUGUUUGCAUAUUGCCCGGUCUCUUCUGGGCGGGUAGCCGGAGUGCUACCGAUUUACUUCCUGUUUUUUUGACCUGUCUGUCAAAACUUCUUUAUGGCACUGCGCCCCAACGCGGUGCCAUUUUUU
rnacentral:other from 1 species